rnacentral:rRNA from 1 species
UACGAAGGGUGCAAGCGUUAAUCGGAAUUACUGGGCGUAAAGCGCGCGUAGGUGGUUCAGUAAGUCAGGAGUGAAAGCCCCGGGCUUAACCUGGGAAUUGCUUCUAAAACUGCUGAGCUAGAGUACGGUAGAGGGUGGUGGAAUUUCCUGUGUAGCGGUGAAAUGCGUAGAUAUAGGAAGGAACAUCAGUGGCGAAGGCGACCACCUGGACUGAUACUGACACUGAGGUGCGAAAGCGUGGGGAGCAAACAGG